rnacentral:rRNA from 1 species
UACAGGGGGUGCAAGCGUUGUUCGGAAUUAUUGGGCGUAAAGCGCGUGUAGGCGGCUUUGCAAGUCGGGUGUGAAAGCCCUCGGCUCAACCGAGGAAGUGCGCCCGAAACUGCAGAGCUUGAGUGCCGGAGAGGAUGGCGGAAUUCCCCAAGUAGAGGUGAAAUUCGUAGAUAUGGGGAGGAACACCGGUGGCGAAGGCGGCCAUCUGGACGGUCACUGACGCUGAGGCGCGAAGGCGUGGGGAGCGAACGGG